rnacentral:rRNA from 1 species
GACGAACGCUGGCGGCGUGCCUAAUACAUGCAAGUAGAACGCUGAAGGAGGAGCUUUCUUCUCUGGACGAGUUGCGAACGGGUGAGUAACGCGUAUGUAACCUGCCUGGUAGCGGGGGAUAACUAUUGGAAACGAUAGCUAAUACCGCAUAAGAGUAGAUGUUGCAUGACAUUUGCUUAAAAGGUGCAAUUGCAUCACUACCAGAUGGACCUGCGUUGUAUUAUGUUGUUGGUGGUGUAACGGCUCACCAAGGCGACGAUACAUAGCCGACCUGAGAGGGGGGUCGGCCACCCUGGGACUGAGACACGGCCCAGAACCCUACGGGAGGCAGCCGGAGGGAAACUUCGGCAAUGGACGGAAGGCUGACCGAGCAAAGCCGAGUGAGUGAAGAAGGGUGUCGGAUCGUAAAGAUCUGUUGUAAGAGAAGAAAGAGUGUGAGAGUGGAAAGUUCACACUGUGACGGUACCUUACCAGAAAGCGACGGCUAACUACGUG